AUUACUGUCAACCACUCAUCGUCAGACAAAUUAAAAAAUUAUGGUGAAAAUUUAUUUUGCUAUAAAAAUAUUAGUUGUGUUGUACGUGCAAAAAUGCAAAGUUAGACAAACCCGUUAGUCACAAGUUCAAUAGCAUUAUUAUUAUUUCGGAGUCGAUCAUCAAGUAUUAUGUGACCAACGCGCAAAUCCGCAAGUAUACUUAAUUGUGUACAACUCUACACCAAAGAGAAUCAAAAGUAUAAUAAGGAAAAAUACUACAUAUUAAAAGUGAGAAUAAUGCAGUAGCCGGCCAGUAAUUCAUCGUCAUGGUAACAACGCUAUAUAGAUUAAUCAACGUCCUAAUAACUGAUGGCUGAUGCCAACGGGUAUGAAUACGGAUACGUUUCCGAAUAUCGUCAGUCUACUCUCAACCUUCAAAAUGUCAAGAACUAAGAAAACCAGCGGAAGAAUAAGAAGAAACAAGACCCAGACGAUCGGCGGCGAACCCAGUAAGAGAAGAGAAGAGAACAAUAACCGGAAGGAGCACGCGGUUAACAGAUACCGACCACCGGACGAACACCAUCGACUACGCCGGAUCGUAGCGAUACCCACAGACCAGAAGAUACUAAGGUGGGCCGGCUACAUAAGACUCAUCUGGUUGUUCGCCUCGACUCGCUCGGGUAGUGUCGACUGAACGGCGCACAGCUUCGCCCGCUUCUACCCAGCUGCGACCAACGGCGGCAGACAUCGUCUAAAUACAGACCUGCCACGAACACCAGACGAAUGUCCCUCACGGACUUUGGCCUGUCAAAUCUUUUUGUGCGCCCCGCCAAAUUGGUGACCACGACGCGAUCCGCCGUUGUCCGUACUUGCGCCCUUCGGUCCUAGCCCUUACGAGUGGCUCAAGGUCAAUCACACCGCUUGUGGCAAUACGGUAUAGCAUCGGCGGAGAACAUACGCGAAGUUCCUCACCCCGGCCCUCACCCGUGCAGACGCGUGACGACGAUCCGAAUUCCGAGCUAACCGGCUACUGCCGGCUCGGUAACCACGGUCUACGGCACGUUGAGGCUGGGCGGGAGUAAUGUGGUGGGCCAUAAACAGAAUAUUUUAUGAAUUUGUAUCACAAAAUAUAAACAGUAUUAUUUUCAGUUUUGUCAAAAUCCUAACUUUUUUUUAAAGUUUUUCCUUAAU